CAAUAGCGUAUAUUUAAGUUGCUGCAGUUAAAAAGCUCGUAGUUGGAUUUCGGGUGGGAAUGGCCGGUCCGCCGUUUCGGUGUGCACUUGCUACGCCCACCUUGCUGCCGGGGACGUGCUCUUGAGUUCACGCUCGGGACACGGAGUCGGCGAGGUUACUUUGAGUAAAUUAGAGUGUUCAAAGCAGGCCUACGCUCUGAAUACAUUAGCAUGGAAUAACACGAUAGGACUCUGGCCUAUCUUGUUGGUCUGUAGGACCGGAGUAAUGAUUAAGAGGGACAGUCGGGGGCAUUCGUAUUUCAUUGUCAGGGGUGAAAUUCUUGGAUUUAUGAAAGACGAACUACUGCGAAAGCAUUUGCCAAGGAUGUUUUCAUUAA
rnacentral:rRNA from 1 species